rnacentral:sRNA from 1 species
UGUUAUAACUAUGAGUGCCGAUAUAGCGU